rnacentral:rRNA from 1 species
AGUCGAACGAUGAAGCCGCUUCGGUGGUGGAUUAGUGGCGAACGGGUGAGUAACACGUGGGCAAUCUGCCCUUCACUCUGGGACAAGCCCUGGAAACGGGGUCUAAUACCGGAUAACACUCUGUCCCGCAUGGGACGGGGUUGAAAGCUCCGGCGGUGAAGGAUGAGCCCGCGGCCUAUCAGCUUGUUGGUGGGGUAAUGGCCUACCAAGGCGACGACGGGUAGCCGGCCUGAGAGGGCGACCGGCCACACUGGGACUGAGACACGGCCCAGACUCCUACGGGAGGCAGCAGUGGGGAAUAUUGCACAAUGGGCGAAAGCCUGAUGCAGCGACGCCGCGUGAGGGAUGACGGCCUUCGGGUUGUAAACCUCUUUCAGCAGGGAAGAAGCGAAAGUGACGGUACCUGCAGAAGAAGCGCCGGCUAACUACGUGCCAGCAGCCGCGGUAAUACGUAGGGCGCAAGCGUUGUCCGGAAUUAUUGGGCGUAAAGAGCUCGUAGGCGGCUUGUCACGUCGGAUGUGAAAGCCCGGGGCUUAACCCCGGGUCUGCAUUCGAUACGGGCUAGCUAGAGUGUGGUAGGGGAGAUCGGAAUUCCUGGUGUAGCGGUGAAAUGCGCAGAUAUCAGGAGGAACACCGGUGGCGAAGGCGGAUCUCUGGGCCAUUACUGACGCUGAGGAGCGAAAGCGUGGGGAGCGAACAGGAUUAGAUACCCUGGUAGUCCACGCCGUAAACGUUGGGAAC